GUGUAUACUAGGUUUGCUCAUAGCUUGUGGGGAAUAUCUACAUUUCCAGGAAUACCACGGUAUGCUGAUCGGAUCGGCGCUCUCACUCUCCAAGACUGGGAACCAGGACAUCUAAGCCUUUGAUAAACUGAAGCGCACCACCUCAAAGGAUUUAUUAGAAAGCCGAGGUGGGAAUGCAAGCAAUCGUCCUAGGAGGGAGCUGAUUGCAGAAUUGACAGAGCUGGACCAGAGCUUGACCAUGGC